rnacentral:sRNA from 1 species
AUUUUACAGGAUUUCAAAUUAUUGGUGGGGAGAAGAUGGGAAGACUGGACCUAGGCAUAUUUAUCAGUUCAGUUGCCCCUGGAGGACCAGCUGACUUGGAUGGAUGCUUGAAGCCAGGAGACCGUUUGAUAUCUGUGAAUAGUGUGAGUCUGGAGGGAGUCAGCCACCAUGCUGCAAUUGAAAUUUUGCAAAAUGCACCUGAAGAUGUGACACUUGUUAUCUCUCAGCCAAAAGAAAAGAUAUCCAAAGUGCCUUCUACUCCUGUGCAUCUCACCAAUGAGAUGAAAAACUACAUGAAGAAAUCUUCCUACAUGCAAGACAGUGCUAUAGAUUCUUCUUCCAAGGAUCACCACUGGUCACGUGGUACCCUGAGGCACAUCUCGGAGAACUCCUUUGGGCUGUCUGGGGGCCUGCGGGAAGGAAGCCUGAGUUCUCAAGAUUCCAGGACUGAGAGUGC